CUGAAUUGUAUCCCUCCAAAAUUUAUAUAUCGAAGUUCUAACACCCCAAUGUGACAGUAUUUGGAGCUAAGGGCUUUAAGUAGGUAAUUUCAGUUAAAUGAGGUCAUGAGAAUAGGGCCCUAAUCCAAUGGGAAAAUCUUUCUCUCUCCACACGUGCACAGAGAAAAGGCCACAUGAGGACACCAUGAGAAGGCAGCUGUCUACAAGCCAGGAAGAGAGUCCUCACCAGAAACCAGCUCUGCUGGCACCUUGAACUUGGACUUCACGCCUCCAGAACAAUAUUAACACAGUGCUAUGUAAUGGAGGAAACCCAAGAAAUAUUUUUUGCCUUGAAGAAAAGAACACAAACUCAGAAGUCACAUGGAUCUAAGAUAAGACUUGCAAAGAUUUAAAUUCAAUUCUGCCAUUUACUUCAUAUGAGGACCUUGAGAACCAGUUGAUAGCAUAUCAGAAAAGCUAAUUAAUUUGCCAUGGUUACCAGGAAAACAGGGCCUAGUCUCCAAAGUACAGCCAAAUAGAGGAGCCAAAUAAAAAAGAGGGAAAUUUUUGUCAUGCAUCUUGUUUUUCUGAAAUGUUAUGUUUUAAAAUAUAUCAAUAUUCAAAACACCAUGUGCUUUAUUGAGUUUUAACUCUUAAUUUUGUCCUCUUUUUUCUGCUAGGGUGUUUUUGAGCAGACAAACAAUUUCUUAUUGCCAGGAUACAGCCUGGAACUCUUAAGCACACCAGGCAAGCAUAUGUAUGAAAUAAAAUUUCUACAAAGAAGAGAUUCGUCAAAAAGCAUCACUGGGACACCAACCAAGUGUAAGGCUCUGUGAGGAAAAGGGAAUUUCAGAAAACUGUCAUACCCAGCCACUGCCAGUGAGGAUAUGGUAAUCUUCUUUGGGGACAGAGUGCACAUUCCCCUGAUAAGUCUAGAAAGCAUAGGAUUAGGGCCCAGUGUCGGGCAGACAAUACAUAUUACAGGAAUUUAGGAGAGAGGCAAGUCACAAAAGGCUGAAGAGUUCAGGGAAAACCUCACAGAGGUGAGCCAGGGAUGAUUUCUGAUGGCUGGAGAAGAGGAAAAGAAGAAAUGUCACAAAGUGCACCAUUAUCAGAAAAAAGACAGAGAGUCAAACACUUUAGGUGGAACAGAAAGCUCCAGUCAGGAAAUAAUGAGAUCGAAUUAUAAAAAGAACCAAAAUGUCAAGCUAAGAAAUUUGGAACUGAUCCAGAGAGUAGCUGGAAAGCUGCUGAAUAUUUUAAAGGGAAAAAAAUUACAAAGUGAAAGCAGUUUUGGAUUUGAUUUUUUCAGUUUUCUUUAUUUUGCUGAAAGGAAAUAAGUUCACAUAGUCUAAAUUGAAAAAGUACAAUAAAUAGUGAAAGGUCUCCCUCCCACUUCGGUCCCCUGCUGCCUAUUUUUCUCCCUGGAGGCAAACCAAUGUUAGCAGCUUCUUAUAUAUUCUUCCAGAGAUAACUAUGCCCAUGGAAAUAAAGACGCACAUAAAUUUUUCCCUCCUCCUUUGUAAAUGAGAUGCGUAGACACUUAUUUACCUUGCAUUUUUCACUCCAAAAUCUAACUUACAGAUUAUUUUGCAUGAAUACAUAAAAAAGGUCCUCGUUCACUUUUUUAAAUUAUGCUAUGAAAAUUCAACAUUCACUCUUUUUUAAAUAGAUGCAUUGGUACAAAAGAAUAUACAGGCGAAAUUGUCUCUAACUCUUCUGCAACUUGCUGCGCUGUUCUCCCUGGAGGCGGUGUCUAGUUUCUUAUAUAUCCCUCCAG
rnacentral:lncRNA from 1 species